CCGGCGCCGCCGCCGUGGCGACUCCGAACGCCAACCGAAAUGCUGCGAUCCAACACUUCCUCCGCGCCCUCGCUCUCUUUCGCUUCCUUUACUCCGCCGGCGUGGCGCCGCGGCGAUGGCGGAGGAGAACCCUUCCGGCUUCCAUUCUCCGGAGCGCCGGUCCUUGCCGUCCGAUCGGACCCCCUCCGGGCGUUGGCAGAGCUGGUCCGGAAGCGGGUAGGCGACCGGGUUGCCGUUGCCGCCGCGCCUGAGCCUCGUACACGCUCAGGUUCAAGAUCGAGAGCCCGGAGCAACCUCUCCCUCCUCCUCGCCCCUCUACGAGGACCGCCACCGGAUUCCGACCCCUCCAGCGGAGCUCAAAGACCCAAAGUUGUACCAUUUUACCAUCUUCUCGGACAAUGUCCCUGCUUCAUCCGUAAUGGUGAACUCCGUCGUCUGCGAUGCUUCCGUGAAUGCCUUCCAUGUCGGAUCGGAUGUACCUUGGGGCAGCGCAGUUCAUGUUUCCUUUGAAAGAUCACUCCGGCUCCCACAUCGAAUGGAGAGCCGUCGAGGGGUACAAGUUCCCCCCAAGUGUUUUUAUGUGCGCGGUUCUCCAGCAGCUCGAGUCUGCAAACCUCCAAUGGUCCGAUUUCGACAACAAGCUGGAGAAUGCCACCCAAAGACACAAACAUGAAGUUUAGGAACCCCAAGUACUUGUCAAUGCUGAACCAAUUGAGGUUUUCCUUGCCUGAGAUGUACCCGAAGCUUCACAGAAUUCCUUUCUUCACAUCACUGUGGAAGAUUGAUAAGGACGGGAAAGUGAAAGGUUCAGUCGAUUCAUGUUUCAGAUUGCUUCAUUCUCAUUAUCAGUAUAUGAACUUAUCCCCUAUGAAUUUCUUUGAUCUUGACGCAUGGAGGAGAACGAUGUGCACUGAGUAGUACAUUACUGGCAGAGUCUGAUCCUCAUCCUGGUUGAUCUCAAUUCCAAUCCCCAUGAAGAACCCACUUGAGCUUGCAAAGGAAGCAGAUACUAAGAUUUGUGAAGUAGCAAAGCCUGCUAUUUUACGCGGUCAUUGCAUUGAGGGAAGAACUUCAGAUGUCGUGAUGUGGCAGUUGGUUUCAGAUUUAUCAUUCUAUGAAGUUGUUAUUUGAAUUUUGCUUAAGAAGAGCUCUAUCCUCCUAACUGUGUAUAGCAUCAUUGAAUAUGUAAAUUCUGAUGAGUAUGAAAUCGCUCAUGUAUAUAGAGAAAGAAAUGAGAUUGGCAACUGAGUUGUAAUACUAGAAUGAGCUUCUCUUGUCUUUAGAGAGGGGAGUGGAAUUCUCCAAUUUUUGUGCUUGGAGUCCAAGAGCUUUUUUUUUUUUGUAACGUUGUACCUUAUUUAUCCUUCUUGACAGAAAGAAAAAGAUCAAAUCUCCUCUCCAUCAUUUAGAUUUU